AACGAACGCUGGCGGCAGGCUUAACACAUGCAAGUCGAACGCAUCCUUCUGGGUGAGUGGCAGACGGGUGAGUAACGCGUGGGAACGUGCCCUUCAGUUCGGGAUAACCCAGGGAAACUUGGGCUAAUACCGGAUACGUGCGAGAGCAGAAAGAUUUAUCGCUGAAGGAUCGGCCCGCGUCUGAUUAGCUAGUUGGUGGGGUAAUGGCCCACCAAGGCGACGAUCAGUAGCUGGUCUGAGAGGAUGAUCAGCCACAUUGGGACUGAGACACGGCCCAAACUCCUACGGGAGGCAGCAGUGGGGAGUAUUGGACAAUGGGCGCAAGCCUGAUCCAGCCAUGCCGCGUGAGUGAUGAAGGCCUUAGGGUUGUAAAGCUCUUUCGUCCGGGACGAUAAUGACGGUACCGGAAGAAGAAGCCCCGGCUAACUUCGUGCCAGCCGCCGCAGUAAUAC
rnacentral:rRNA from 1 species